GGGAGGAAUGGUCUCCAUCGUGCAGAUGCUGCCUGGGCCCUUCAGAGGAUGGGAAACUCCAUGCUUGAGUGUUGAGCUGCUUUUCUUGCAUGUACCCCAUUCAUUCCAACCAAUCUCUGCAGGUUCAUAGGGAAUUCUGUAAUUUUAAUUAUGUUUUUCUAUUUUUAAAAAACUCAUUAUAUGCCUUGAAUCAUUUGUUGCAGAUAUUUGAAUUUUAAAAACAAAUUUAAAACAAUCCUCACCAGAUAAGUCUGAGGAAUGUCACCUGACAGCUAUUUAUUAUUGGUGUAAGCAGAUGAAGAGGAGGGACUGGGAGUCUCCGAAUCCUUGCGCUGUGCGUGGCUGGUUGGUUGGUUGUGAGAUGGAGGUCUCAGUAGCCAUGGUGUGGCUGUGGGAUUAAAGAAGUACAUAAUUCUAACCAUUUAUAAAGAGAAGAAUAUUUCAGUGCUACAAAUUGAGCAGCAUUUUUACCUCAAAGCAAGUGAUUGGCCUUUAAUAAAGAUAUAUUUUAGGGGAGAAGUAUAUGAGUGUGUGUGAGUGUGUGUGUGCGUGUGUGCUUCAUAUCACAGUUCAUAUGCACACAAUAAUAUUGGUAAAAUUUUCCUACACUAGCAUUUACACUUUCUAACUGUGCUAAUAUGUUCUAAUAGCAUACUUUAAAAAAAAAUGCCAGUCUCAGUUUCUAAAGUCAUUUUAUAGUCUGUCCUCAAGGUCACAGUCUGUAGCUCGUGUUAGCGAUGCGUGGAUUUAGAACUCUUAGCUCUAACUUAACAGCAUGUGUUUUCAAGCAAGAUAAGAUGGAUGCUGAGAAUUUCACUGAAAGUCAGCAUGCUGUGGAUGCUGUCAGGUGAGGUCACACAGUGUAGGCCUCGGCUUGGCCUGCUACAGGUCAGACUAGGAGGCUGAAACAGCACACACUUCCCACCGUUGAAGAGCUCACUAAAGUGAGGCUGAGGUGCUGGAAGGUUCAGUUCCUAUCGGAUCAUUCCUCUACUUGCCAUUCAUUUCCUUCCCCGUGUCUCACGGUAAGGGGCAAGAUCUAAGCUCUCCUCUUCAUGUAAUCUCAUUGCUAAAACACCCCGCCUUCUUGAAUUCAUGUUUUAAACUGUCUUAAAUAUUAUUUUUAAAACUAUAAUAUUCUAAGCAGUGUCUCUAAAGUCUUGAGUUUGGUGUGGUGGAUAUAGUUUUAAGUACGCAGUAAAAUAAAAUGCAGGACUACUGUAUCUUAUGGUUGUGAAAUGAGGACCUUUCCACAGUUUAACAUUUCUGUAAUUCAGGUGUGUUUCGCUUCCUGGCAUGUGACAGACUGGACGCCUGAGCACUAGUGGUGAGUGCUUGUCAGUGUGAGCACUAGUGGUGAGUGCUUGUCAGUGUGAGCACUAGUGGUGAGUGCUUGUCAGUGUGAGCACUAGUGGUGAGUGCUUGUCAGUGUGAGCACUAGUGGUGAGUGCUUGUCAGUGUGAGCAGUGUGGGUGAGGACUCGGGACAUCGAUGAAAGACAGGAGGAGUUCAGACGUGUAGACAACCGAUGCGGAGAGCUCUCCUGGAAGACUCAGCUUGUUUGUUUGCUUGUAUUUCCCUUUUCAUCCAUGUGCAAGGAUGGAAUCUCUCUAAGCGAGUCAGGAGAGAUCUUUGCACAUUUAGAAUGAAAAGUUUUAGUAGCAGGAAAGCACUGUGCUAUAAAUGAACUGGCAGCCAGUUUCUGUGUCGUAAGGAGGAAAGAGGUGUUAGAUUAAGCAAAGCAGCCAAGGGAUGAAAGUUAGCUCACAUCCCGCCUACAGGCAGGUGCAGUGCUGGUUUGCGGAAGCAUGUUUCUGCUCAGUGGAGUUAAGUAAGCUCUCCAAAAGGAUGGCAGUGGGAGAGAGAGAGAGCAUUUUGGAGGCAGAGGAAUUUGGAAGAGAUGAUGGAGGAUGUGGGGGUGAUCAUGGAAGCCAACGAAGAAGAAGCCAGUUACAGUAAUUAGCCACUACAGAUGACCAAAGAGUCGUCUAGUAGCUCAGACAUGGCGGCUCUGGCGAGGAGGGGAGCCUGAGCAGUGGACCAGAGAGAGGCCAAGAGGAAGCUAGAGGAUGGUCGGAGCAGGCCCAGGGGCUCAUCUCAGGCUCUCGCCACGCUCAGACGACGGUGUGGUUCUACUCACGUGCCCGCUGGGUGUAGUUUUAAGCACAGAUACCCAUUUCAGAUUGGCAAUACCCUGUUUUUUACUCUCUCGGGCCCAUAAGUUUGUUUUAGAAAACUCUAAAGUCUGGAGGCCAUUUCUCCACUGGAUGUAAUUGUAAGCAUAUCCGCUUUAUCAGGAACGUGGCUGCAUUCAGGUCCGUUGUCCUGGGCGCCUUUGUUGGCGGCUGCAUUCCAUGGGGCUCAGUCUUUCAGGCCUGUGUGUUUACUAACUAUUCAGAUGCCUUGUGGCAUUCACACAGAUUAUGU
rnacentral:lncRNA from 1 species